UUGGAUCAGCAGCUCUAGUUCAUGCCUCUAAGCACCAGGUGCAAAUUGGCGAUCUUGCCCACACUCCUGGCUGUUCUGGUUAAUUCACUAAAAUCCAGCAGUUCAGUUUUAAAGGUCACCAGAGCCCGAGGUGGGUGGCGAGCAGCAGGGAAGGCCAGCUUCCACCUGGCAGAGGACGGAGCUACAUCGUUCUCGGAGUCUCCCAGGACGGACUGUCCUUGGGUCUCCAGACUGUCUGGUCCACUCUUUCACUUCUUGGUCGCCAAGGAGCUCACCUCAUGUUCAGAGAACAUUCCUUUUGACCUUUUUAUUGUCUUCAGAGAGUUGACCCCACUCCCUAGUCCGCCAAUUGCCACAGCAGAGCUGCUGCCACCGCCACGUUCCACCCAGCUGGAUGUGCUGCAAGGUGCUGUCUCACCUGGGUCACCAGCACAGCCCUGGCUCUGAGCCCUGCAGUCUGGCCUCCUUUCUCCAGUCACCAGAGGGAUCUUUCUAAAGAAGGAAGUUCGAUGCAUCUGAGGGAGGCACUAAAGCCACGUUGACUGCUGGGUCCUGGGCAGAGUAAACACCGCCGACAGGUGAUGGCUGUGACAGGAAAAACCCACACACGGACCUGCAAACACGUCUCAGGAACAGCUGUCUUGCUAGGGACAAGCUUACGCUAAAGGAUGAUGCCAGUAUUGGAUGCAACGUUCUGCCAUGCAUCAGUGGUGAGUUUUUAACAAAAAAGCAAAAUACUCACCAUCACUGCAAAGGUAAAAUCAAAGUCGACCAAGCCACAUCAUUUCCCUUCUACUUGGUUUUGAAAUUCAACUUCCCCUCGAUUUAAAAACGACGUAUCUAAACCAGUCUUCCUUUGCAGAGGCAGGUGACGAAAUGCAGCAAGCCAUUCUGUGGCUUCAGCAGAGAACGUAAACGCUUCCGAGCAGCUGGCACCCAGGGAGCCGCUGGAGACGAGGACACAACCCUGCCACUCCAUGUGUCCCGGGCUGGCAGCAACUGCACAACCUGGGGGAUCCCCAGGAAUGCAGAACCGUGAGCCCCACUCCAGCCCCAAGUCAGAAUCCACAUCUUACCGCGCUCCCUGGGUGACUGGCAUGCACACUGAGGCUUAAGCACUGUUCUAUUUUUCAUUUUUCUGGUCCUUGAUUCUAGCUUGGUCUUUUCUGGCUGCUUAGCACAAAGUGAAAGCCUGCCUGGGAGGAAGGAGACUUGUGUUCUGAUCUCAGACUUCCACUGAGUAUCUGCUUUGGUUCCACCAUUUACAUACACUAGCCCAGCCGAGUCUCAGGACUACUGCAGGACCAAAUGGGAUCCUUGCUAACAAGGGCCUAAGUGACCUUACUCUGCACCACUAGCCACACUGACUGCAGGCAGAGCUUGCUUCUGCCUCAGGGUCUUUGCACAAGCUGUCUUCACUGCCUGGAAUGCCCUUUUGAUCUCUGCAUGUCCUCCCUGUUACUCAGAUCUCAGUCUAAAUGUUCUCUCUCCAGCGAGGCCCUCCCAGACCCCCAGUCCAGUCUCUCUGGUAAGUCACUGAUGUGGUUUGGAUGUUUGACCCCUCCAAUCUCAUGCUGAAAUCUGAUCCCUGUGUUGGAGGUAGGGCCUGGUGGGAGGUGUUUGGGUCAUGGGGGCGGAUCCCUCAUGAAUGGCUUGGUGCCCUCCCCACCAUAAGGAGUGAGUUCUCACUUUACUGGUUCACUGGACAGCUGGUUGUUCAAAGGAGCCUGGCACCCCGCCUCCCUUUUUGCUUCUCUCACCAUGUGCGAGGUCUGCUCCUCCUUCACCUCCACCUUCCGCCCGGAUGGGAAGGUCCCCGAAGCCCUCACCAGCAGACGCCGGCAAGAUGCUUCUUCCACAAGGCUUCUUGUACAACCUGCAGAACCCUGAGCUGAACAAACCUCUUUAUAGAUUACCCAGCCUCAGGGAUUUUCUUUAUAAAGCAAAAUGAACUAACGAAGUCUCCCUGUUCUAAUCUUCUGCAAAGCACUUUUCAUUCUACCAGAGUGGGGACAGUGACUGUCCUGCUCUCAGCGCAGCCCCGCUGCCUGGCACUGUGCCCGGCGCACUGACGCUCACACGCAGCUGUUUAAUGAGCAGCCAAGGAGGGCAAAGACUCGGAAAAAGCAGGCGCUGCACGAGUACCAGAUCCUUCUGCCAACGCAUAAAGCCUUCCUUGCUUUCACCUGGUGAUUUCCCUUGGAAAGCAGCAACGUUAUACCGACCACGCCCACAGCCCGGAUCUUGUAAAUGAAAAUCUGCUGACUGCUCCUCAAGCAAGGAACGAUGGACUGCAGCUGCUUUCCCUCAUGCUGCAAGGAAUGAGGACUCAGUCACUGUCUGCAUGUCUCAGGUCCCACAGUAGAUCCCCGCCAGCCAUUUCCCUUGGAAAAGCGAAGGGCUUAGAAGGGAAAAGCGGCUUGAGGUCACAACACGGAAGCCACAUCGCCCAGGGACGGCCAGAUGGCCUGGAGGCUGGCUUGGCGAAGCUGCCCGGAGGCAGGAGCACUGCAGGUAAACAGCGGGGAGAACAUAGGUCAUUAGACUACACGCUGAGAACUGCCCAGAAGUGCCUUCUGCCACCAAACCCAAUUUAAUAAUGGUUUAUUGGUUUAGUUGUGAUUUUCGGUUAAGCAUGACAGAAAUUGGUUUUAAGUCCAAUAUUAGAGGAUCCCAAAGGUUAGUUCACACAAUCUAAUGAUGUAUUACAGACGA